AGUGAACGCUGGCGGUAGGCCUAACACAUGCAAGUCGAACGGCAGCACAGUAAGAGCUUGCUCUUACGGGUGGCGAGUGGCGGACGGGUGAGGAAUACAUCGGAAUCUACUUUUUCGUGGGGGAUAACGUAGGGAAACUUACGCUAAUACCGCAUACGACCUACGGGUGAAAGCAGGGGAUCUUCGGACCUUGCGCGAUUGAAUGAGCCGAUGUCGGAUUAGCUAGUUGGCGGGGUAAAAGCCCACCAAGGCGACGAUCCGUAGCUGGUCUGAGAGGAUGAUCAGCCACACUGGAACUGAGACACGGUCCAGACUCCUACGGGAGGCAGCAGUGGGGAAUAUUGGACAAUGGGCGCAAGCCUGAUCCAGCCAUACCGCGUGGGUGAAGAAGGCCUUCGGGUUGUAAAGCCCUUUUGUUGGGAAAGAAAAGCAGCAGGUUAAUACCCCGCUGUUCUGACGGUACCCAAAGAAUAAGCACCGGCUAACUUCAUG
rnacentral:rRNA from 1 species